GACGAACGCUUGCGGCGUGCUUAACACAUGCAAGUCGAACGGAAAGGCCCUGCUUUUGUGGGGUGCUCGAGUGGCGAACGGGUGAGUAACACGUGAGUAACCUGCCCUUGACUUUGGGAUAACUUCAGGAAACUGGGGCUAAUACCGGAUAGGAGCUCCUGCUGCAUGGUGGGGGUUGGAAAGUUUCGGCGGUUGGGGAUGGACUCGCGGCUUAUCAGCUUGUUGGUGGGGUAGUGGCUUACCAAGGCUUUGACGGGUAGCCGGCCUGAGGGGGUGACCGGCCACAUUGGGACUGAGAUACGGCCCAGACUCCUACGGGAGGCAGCAGUGGGGAAUAUUGCACAAUGGGCGGAAGCCUGAUGCAGCAACACCGCGUGCGGGAUGACGGCCUUCGGGUUGUAAACCGCUUUCGCCUGUGACGAAGCGUGAGUGACGGUAAUGGGUAAAGAAGCACCGGCUAACUACGUGCCAGCAGCCGCGGUGAUACGUAGGGUGCGAGCGUUGUCCGGAUUUAUUGGGCGUAAAGGGCUCGUAGGUGGUUGAUCGCGUCGGAAGUGUAAUCUUGGGGCUUAACCCUGAGCGUGCUUUCGAUACGGGUUGACUUGAGGAAGGUAGGGGAGAAUGGAAUUCCUGGUGGAGCGGUGGAAUGCGCAGAUAUCAGGAGGAACACCAGUGGCGAAGGCGGUUCUCUGGGCCUUUCCUGACGCUGAGGAGCGAAAGCGUGGGGAGCGAACAGGCUUAGAUACCCUGGUAGUCCACGCUGUAAACGGUGGGUACUAGGUGUGGGGUCCAUUCCACGGGUUCCGUGCCGUAGCUAACGCUUUAAGUACCCCGCCUGGGGAGUACGGCCGCAAGGCUAAAACUCAAAGGAAUUGACGGGGCCCCGCACAAGCGGCGGAGCAUGCGGAUUAAUUCGAUGCAACGCGUAGAACCUUACCUGGGUUUGACAUGGAUCGGGAGUGCUCAGAGAUGGGUGUGCCUCUUUUGGGGUCGGUUCACAGGUGGUGCAUGCCUGUCGUCAGCUCGUGUCGUGAGAUGUUGGGUUAAGUCCCGCAACGAGCGCAACCCUUGUUCACUGUUGCCAGCACGUUAUGGUGGGGACUCAGUGGAGACCGCCGGGGUCAACUCGGAGGAAGGUGGGGAUGACGUCAAGUCCUCAUGCCCCUUAUGUCCAGGGCUUCACGCAUGCUACAAUGGCUGGUACAGAGAGUGGCGAGCCUGUGAGGGUGAGCGAAUCUCGGAAAGCCGGUCUCAGUUCGGAUUGGGGUCUGCAACUCGACCUCAUGAAGUCGGAGUCGCUAGUAAUCGCAGAUCAGCAACGCUGCGGUGAAUACGUUCCCGGGGCU
rnacentral:rRNA from 1 species